UACGGGGGGGGCAAGCGUUGUUCGGAAUUACUGGGCGUAAAGGGCUCGUAGGCGGCCAACUAAGUCAUACGUGAAAUCCCCCGGCUUAACCUGGGAACUGCGUCUGAUACUGGAAGGCUUGAGUAUGGGAGAGGGAUGUAGAAUUCCAGGUGUAGCGGUGAAAUGCGUAGAUAUCUGGAGGAAUACCGGUGGCGAAGGCGGCAUCCUGGACCAUUACUGACGCUGAGGCGCGAAAGCUAGGGGAGCAAACGGG
rnacentral:rRNA from 1 species